AACACCUUCCUAACUCAAAUUAGCUAUCUCAACCUCACUUAACAACUUAACAUCAAUCAAACUCCAUUUUAUACCUUUCAACAUCAAUUCUAUGCAACUAACAACUUACACAAGUCUUGAUAAACUUAAUAACAACCCCCAAAAUACCACUAGUGAAAACCCCUAAAAUACUAAAAACCAUACAAGACACUUCCAAAAGAUGACCAACUAGUUCUACAUCAGAAUCUUGUUGUCAUAACACUCAAACAAAUCUUAAUCAACCCUUAGACCCCUGCCAAAACACAAUUUAACCAAAAUAACUCUUCACUUAACUUUUCACCUAUCUAGCCUAAAAACUACUUAUUUCUUCUGUUGAAAUGUAAACAAAGCUUUAUUCAAUUUGAUAGCUCCUACUUCACCCAAUUUAACAUCUUUAAAUUCAUCACACGCAAACUUUUCAUCAUAAUCACAUUGCACCUCAAUUAAAUCAAUUUUCACAUCAACAUAUAUUAUAUACAAUUAACUUAACAUACUAAAUUUCUUAAUCCAAUACAAUUUCACAAUUUAAUCAAUAAUUUACCAUACAAACAUUAAUUAGAACUUGUCUAUCAAACAAAUCAAGUAAAACUAGCUUCUCUUACCUUACACUGACGAUACAAAGUUCUACAAACACUCUGAAUACUUCUCGC
rnacentral:lncRNA from 1 species